AAGAGCCCGGUGCGGGAAAUCUGCACGCCGGGUUCCGUGGGGGUUGGGUCACCGAAGGUGACCCUUCUACCCGGA
rfam:Desulfosporosinus sp. OL contig00049, whole genome shotgun sequence.